AAUCCCAAAAAGUGCGUCGUAGUCCGGAUUGGAGUCUGCAACUCGACUCCAUGAAGUCGGAAUCGCUAGUAAUCGUGGAUCAGAAUGCCACGGUGAAUACGUUCCCGGGCCUUGUACACACCGCCCGUCACACCAUGGGAGUGGGCUGCAAAAGAAGUAGGUAGUUUAACCUUCGGGGGGACGCUUACCACUUUGUGGUUCAUGACUGGGGUGAAGUCGUAACAAGGUAGCGCUAGGGGAACCUGGCGCUGGAUCACCUCCUUA
rnacentral:rRNA from 1 species